GGCGGCGUGCUUAACACAUGCAAGUCGAACGAUGAACCACUUCGGUGGGGAUUAGUGGCGAACGGGUGAGUAACACGUGGGCAAUCUGCCCUUCACUCUGGGACAAGCCCUGGAAACGGGGUCUAAUACCGGAUAUGAGCUUCCACCGCAUGGUGGUGGCUGUAAAGCUCCGGCGGUGAAGGAUGAGCCCGCGGCCUAUCAGCUUGUUGGUGAGGUAAUGGCUCACCAAGGCGACGACGGGUAGCCGGCCUGAGAGGGCGACCGGCCACACUGGGACUGAGACACGGCCCAGACUCCUACGGGAGGCAGCAGUGGGGAAUAUUGCACAAUGGGCGAAAGCCUGAUGCAGCGACGCCGCGUGAGGGAUGACGGCCUUCGGGUUGUAAACCUCUUUCAGCAGGGAAGAAGCGAAAGUGACGGUACCUGCAGAAGAAGCGCCGGCUAACUACGUGCCAGCAGCCGCGGUAAUACGUAGGGCGCAAGCGUUGUCCGGAAUUAUUGGGCGUAAAGAGCUCGUAGGCGGCUUGUCACGUCGGAUGUGAAAGCCCGAGGCUUAACCUCGGGUCUGCAGUCSAUACGGGCUAGCUAGAGUGUGGUAGGGGAGAUCGGAAUUCCUGGUGUAGCGGUGAAAUGCGCAGAUAUCAGGAGGAACACCGGUGGCGAAGGCGGAUCUCUGGGCCAUUACUGACGCUGAGGAGCGAAAGCGUGGGGAGCGAACAGGAUUAGAUACCCUGGUAGUCCACGCCGUAAACGGUGGGAACUAGGUGUUGGCGACAUUCCACGUCGUCGGUGCCGCAGCUAACGCAUUAAGUUCCCCGCCUGGGGAGUACGGCCGC
rnacentral:rRNA from 1 species